GCAUAUCAAUAAGCGGAGGAAAAGAAACUAACAAGGAUUCCCCUAGUAACUGCGAGUGAAGCGGGAAAAGCUCAAAUUUAAAAUCUGGCGGUCUUUGGUCGUCCGAGUUGUAGUCUGGAGAAGUGCUUUCCGCGCUGGACCGUGUAUAAGUCUCUUGGAACAGAGCGUCAUAGAGGGUGAGAAUCCCGUCUUUGACACGGACUACCAGUGCUUUGUGAUGCGCUCUCAAAGAGUCGAGUUGUUUGGGAAUGCAGCUCAAAAUGGGUGGUGAAUUCCAUCUAAAGCUAAAUAUUGGCGAGAGACCGAUAGCGAACAAGUACCGUGAGGGAAAGAUGAAAAGCACUUUGGAAAGAGAGUUAAACAGUACGUGAAAUUGCUGAAAGGGAAACGCUUGAAGUCAGUCGCGUUGUCUGGGACUCAGCCUUGCUUUUGCUUGGUGCACUUUCCGGAUGACGGGCCAGCAUCGAUUUUGACCGUCGGAAAAGGGCUAGGGUAAUGUGGCACCUCCGGGUGUGUUAUAGACUUUAGUCGCAUACGGCGGUCGGGAUCGAGGAACGCAGCGCGCCGUAAGGCAGGGGUUCGCCCACUUUCGCGCUUAGGAUGCUGGCGUAAUGGCUUUAAACGACCCGUCUUGAAACACGGACC
rnacentral:rRNA from 1 species